AUACUUACUUGGCAGAGGAGAGGCCACUAUCAAGAAAGUGGUUUUCCCAAGGUGAGGCUCUUCUAUUGCACAUCAGAAGGGUGGACCCCUGUGAUUUCCCCAAAUGCGGGAAACUUAGUUGCAUAGUUCUGAAGAUUCCUUCCUUUAGAAUGCCAUUCC